rnacentral:rRNA from 1 species
GUGAACGCUGGCGGUAGGCCUAACACAUGCAAGUCGAACGGCAGCACAGUAAGAGCUUGCCCUUACGGGUGGCGAGUGGCGGACGGGUGAGGAAUACAUCGGAAUCUACUUUUUCGUGGGGGAUAACGUAGGGAAACUUACGCUAAUACCGCAUACGACCUACGGGUGAAAGCAGGGGAUCUUCGGACCUUGCGCGAUUGAAUGAGCCGAUGUCGGAUUAGCUAGUUGGCGGGGUAAAGGCCCACCAAGGCGACGAUCCGUAGCUGGUCUGAGAGGAUGAUCAGCCACACUGGAACUGAGACACGGUCCAGACUCCUACGGGAGGCAGCAGUGGGGAAUAUUGGACAAUGGGCGCAAGCCUGAUCCAGCCAUACCGCGUGGGUGAAGAAGGCCUUCGGGUUGUAAAGCCCUUUUGUUGGGAAAGAAAAGCAGCAGGUUAAUACCCCGCUGUUCUGACGGUACCCAAAGAAUAAGCACCGGCUAACUUCGUG